AGUAAGUUUCCAUCAUUUUCCGUUAAAAGAUUUGGAGCGAUGUAAACAGUGGCUGCGGGCUAUCAACCAUCCGAAGUUUGGUGAGGACACCGAUAUGGAAAACCUGAAAACCCGUAGGAUUUGCAGUCGUCAUUUCAAGCAGGAAGACUAUGAACCGAAUGUCCUUCGAAUGAAGAGAACCACUCUGAAGGAAGGACACUGCAAUACCAUCAAUAUUCACCUUCCCCGAUGACGAACAGCCUGGGCCAUCUGGUACUAAACGCAUUCGUCUAGAGACUACAAUCUCGUCUGAUGCGUUAGUGUCGUCGAAAAAUGAAGAACCAUUGCUACUGACCUCAACACCGCUCAAAAUUCCUGCUUCUGUCCAAGAACAAUUUUCACCAUGCCCAAGUACACCUGGGGGCCUCAAUACAACCAUCAGCUCCAUUGAAAAUGAUGAAAGCUAUCAGCCCGAGUCAACCUUCACCGUCACAUCAACAUCAUCAUCAUCAUCAUCAUCUGAUGAUGAAGGUGUAAAAGACGGGCAUGAAAAUAAGAUAAUUGUCAACGAGUCCAGCCUCAUGUCACUCUUCAAAUUUUGCCAGACAUGUGGGAAACCAAUUUCUUCAAAGACUAUUGUUGACGUUGGUGCACAGAGGAAGGUGGAUUGGACAUGUCUUGGGGGCCAUGUUGGGUCCUGGAAAUCUUCACGUGACGUUAGGGGAAUGCCAGAGGUGAACCUCUUUGCAGCAGCAGCUGUUUUGUUCAGAGGGGGCACAUACACAGAACUCUCGGACUGGUGCAAGACCAUGGGUGUCCAAAUGAUAGGACAUAGUACAUUUCAUGCCUAAUUCCAAGGUAGAUCACAAAGCCUUUUUAUAAAGGCUUCUUUUCCAGGUACAGUUUAUGUAUGUCUUUCGAUAUACAUUGUUUCUGUAUUAUUGCAUAUUAUGUCUAAUAAAGCAUGUUAGUCUCCCAACAUUACACCCACAGUUGAAAAUCCAAAGGUUUUGUAAUAGUCAGC